UACUCUGAUUGAGGGCAGCAUAUUAGUGAGCCGCACAGCUGAUCAAUCAGCGUGAGCUCUGCCAGAGGAAUCAUUCCUCGGUAUACUGAGGCAACAGCAGGUCAUAGUACCUGCUUGCCUUCGGCUCCUCUUCCUCUAUAGGCUUGCAUCCAGGCUCUGUGCGGUGCAUGGUGAUCCUACCCGCAUGCAUAAGAGGAUCAUUUCCUCUUUUUCCCAUCCCUCCUUCCUUCCAUCUGGGAUUUUCCAUCUGGGAUUCUGAGCCAGUUACGGCUAAUUAUUCAGGUUUUUCAGUCCAUUUUUUCAGACUACUGCCCCCCAUUGGUUCCUGACGAAGCCCCCUUGGGCGAAACUAGUAGAACCGUUACAUGCGGGAUGAAAUGAAGAUCACCUGCAUCUUUAUGCACUUGAAGUAUCAUUUUAUUUGUUAGUCUGGAAUUUGUCUAGUAUGCACUCUAUAGUAUUCAAUGUAUAUCUUUUUUCUUUUUUCU